GUGCCAGCAGCGGCGGUAAUACGGAGGGUGCAAGCGUUAAUCGGAAUUACUGGGCGUAAAGCGCACGCAGGCGGUCAAUUAAGUCAGAUGUGAAAGCCCCGAGCUUAACUUGGGAAUUGCAUCUGAAACUGGUUGGCUAGAGUCUUGUAGAGGGGGUAGAAUUCCAUGUGUAGCGGUGAAAUGCGUAGAGAUGUGGAGGAAUACCGGUGGCGAAGGCGGCCCCCUGGACAAAGACUGACGCUCAGGUGCGAAAGCGUGGGAGCAAACGAGGAUUAGAUACCCUGGUAGUCCACGCUGUAAACGAUGUCGAUUUAGAGGUUAGUGGUCUUGAACCGUGGCUUCUGGAGCUAACGCGUUAAAUC
rnacentral:rRNA from 1 species